UGAGGAAUAUUGGGUCAAUGGGCGGAAGCCUGAACCAGCCAUGCCGCGUGCGGGAAGGAGGCCCUAUGGGCUGUGAACCGCUUUUGCCUGGGGGCAAUAAGGGCGUCGCGCACGUCCGAUGAGAGUACCAGGCGAAUAAGCAUCGGCUAACUCCGUGCCAGCAGCCGCGGUAAUACGGGGGGAUGCGAGCGUUAUCCGGAUUCAUUGGGUUUAAAGGGUGCGUAGGCUGUGCGUCAAGUCGGGGGUGAAAUUCCGGUGCUCAACACCGGGGCUGCCCUUGAUACUGUCGCGCUGGAGUGCGGAUGCCGCCGGAGGAAUGAGUGGUGUAGCGGUGAAAUG
rnacentral:rRNA from 1 species